rnacentral:rRNA from 1 species
AGAGUUUGAUCCUGGCUCAGGACGAACGCUGGCGGCGUGCUUAACACAUGCAAGUCAAGGAGAAUUUCCCGACUUGUCGGGAUUAGUAAACUGGCGAACGGGUGAGUAACACGUAGGUAACCUGCCCCUGGAAUAGGGAUAACUUUGCUAACGCGAGGCUAAUACCUGAUAAUAUUUUUAAAUCGCAUGAUAAAAAAAUCAAAGUUGCCUUGAUUCGUCAGGGUAGCGCCCAGGGAUGGACCUGCGCCCCAUUAGCUUGUUGGUAGGGUAAUGGCCUACCAAGGCUACGAUGGGUAGCCGGCCUGAGAGGGUGACCGGCCACACUGGGACUGAGAUACGGCCCAGACUCCUACGGGAGGCAGCAGUGAGGAAUAUUGCGCAAUGGGCGAAAGCCUGACGCAGCAACGCCGCGUGGAUGAUGAAGCUCUAAGGAGUGUAAAGUCCUGUUAGGAGGGAAGAACAACUUUAAUUCGAAUAGGUUUAAGGUUUGACGGUACCUCCAGAGAAAGCCCCGGCUAACUCCGUGCCAGCAGCCGCGGUAAUACGGGGGGGGCAAGCGUUGUCCGGAAUUAUUGGGCGUAAAGAGCGCGUAGGCGGAAUGGUAAGUCAGAGGUGAAAACCACGGGCUCAACUCAUGGCCUGCCUUUGAAACUGCCAUUCUUGAGUACGGUAGAGGGAAGUGGAAUUCCUGGUGUAGCGGUGAAAUGCGUAGAUAUCAGGAAGAACACCGGUAGCGAAGGCGGCUUCCUGGCCCGUAACUGACGCUGAGGCGCGAAAGCGUGGGGAGCAAACAGGAUUAGAUACCCUGGUAGUCCACGCCGUAAACGAUGGGCACUAGGUGUUGGUCUGCGAUGAGUAGAUCAGUGCCGGAGCUAACGCAUUAAGUGCCCCGCCUGGGGAGUACGAUCGCAAGGUUGAAACUCAAAGGAAUUGACGGGGGCCCGCACAAGCGGUGGAGCAUGUGGUUUAAUUCGAUGCAACGCGAAGAACCUUACCUGGGCUUGAAGUGCAGUCGCAAUUCGCCGAAAGGUGAACCUCCUUCGGGACGGCUGUAGAGGUGCUGCAUGGCUGUCGUCAGCUCGUGCCGUGAGGUGUGGGUUAAGUCCCGCAACGAGCGCAACCCUUGCCCUUAGUUGCCAUCAGGUUAUGCUGGCACUCCAAGGGGACUGCCCCGAAAACGGGGAGAAGGGGGGAUGACGUCAGUCCUCAUGCCCUUACGUCCAGGCUCCCCGUGCUAAAUGUCGUAAGUGGGAGCAUCUGCAAUGACAAUCCUUAACCGUCUAGUCGAUGCAUCUCAUCGAUGCUGAGCGAUCCUAUACCGUUCAAGACCGUGAUCUCUCGACUGUCACCGCCGUCACCGAAGUCCCUACCGAUCCCUACUACUUUAAGAGCGUCCAGUGUGGGGUAGUGGUAGAUAUAAGUGAUCAAUCAUGAUAUCGCCGCGGCGCGCCAUAUG